AGCGGGAUGGAGAAGUAGUAUCUCGUGGGGCUCAUAACCCCAAGCCCCGGGUGCAAAUCCCGGUCCCGCAA
rnacentral:tRNA from 1 species